GAUGAACGCUAGCGGCAGGCUUAACACAUGCAAGUCGAGGGGCAGCACGGGUAGCAAUACCUGGUGGCGACCGGCGCAAGGGUGCGUAACGCGUGAGCAACAUGCCCUAUACAGGGGGAUAAUCCAGGGAAACUUGGUCUAAUAUCCCAUAGUAUUUAGAGGAGGCAUCUUCUAUAAAUUAAAGCUUCGGUGGUAUAGGAUUGGCUCGCGUGACAUUAGCUAGAUGGUGAGGUAACGGCUCACCAUGGCAAUGAUGUCUAGGGGUUCUGAGAGGAAGGCCCCCCACACUGGGACUGAGACACGGCCCAGACUCCUACGGGAGGCAGCAGUGAGGAAUAUUGGACAAUGGAUGGAAAUCUGAUCCAGCCAUGCCGCGUGCAGGAAGACAGCCCUAUGGGUUGUAAACUGCUUUUUAUAUGGGAGCAAUAAGGUCUACGUGUAGACUGAUGAGAGUACCAUAUGAAU
rnacentral:rRNA from 1 species